CCUACGGGAGGCAGCAGUGGGGAAUAUUGGUCAAUGGGCGCAAGCCUGACCCAGCAACGCCGCGUGAAGGAAGAAUGCUUUCUGGUUGUAAACUUCUUUUCUUAGGGACGAAGAAAGUGACGGUACCUCAGGAAUAAGCCACGGCUAACUACGUGGCAGCAGCGGCGGCUAUACGUAGGUGGCAAGCGUUAUCCGGAUUUAUUGGGUGUAAAGGGCGUCUAGGCGGGAAAGCAAGUCCGAUGUGAAAACUCAGGGCUCAACCCUGGGCCGGCAUUUGAAACUGUUUUUCUUGAGUGCUGGGGAGGCAAUCGGAAUUCCGUGUGUAGCGGUGAAAUGCGUAGAUAUACGGAGGAACACCAGUGGCGAAGGCAGAUUGCUGGACAGUAACUGACGCUGAGGCGCGAAAGCGUGGGGAGCAAACAGGAUUAGAUACCCGAGUAGUC
rnacentral:rRNA from 1 species